rnacentral:piRNA from 1 species
AAAACGGAAGGUUGGAGAUGUGG